rfam:Aggregatibacter phage S1249, complete sequence.
GGCCGACGGUGCGAGGAAUACAAUACCGCAAGGGAAUAACUCCGCCUGAUUAUGUGCAGGUUUUGAGCCGUCGGUCGCCCUAUU